ensembl:rRNA 5S_rRNA 5S ribosomal RNA
GCUUAUGGCCAUACCACCCUGUCUGCGCCCGAUCUUGUCUGAUCUCGGAAGCUAAGCAGGGUCGGGCCUGGCUAGUACUUGGAUGGUAGAAUGCCUGGGAAUACCAGCUGCUGUAAGCU